AAAAUACAUUCUUUCCACUUAAUCCCAAUUUUGGUUUACUUAUGCUAUUAUUUAACAUGUUUUGAUUUACAGGCCUGCUCAGAGAAAAAGCGAAGCGGUAAACUUUAGCAAAUUAAUUAGCAAUGGUUACGGGACUGACUGGUAUCAACAACAUACUGCAUGGAAAAAAAAGAUUCAAGAAACUUCAGAAAACAGUGAGCAGUCCACAGAUUCAGAGCCAUCACAGUCUGAAUCAGCACCUGCAAGCAGUGAAUUGAAGCCAGAGUUUCAGGGAUGUAAUAAGUAACUUAAAAGAUGAUUGGGGAAAGUAAGGCAUUAUAUGGCUUAUGAUAAAGUCCACUAUUUACAUCUUUGUUGGUUUACUUUUGUCUGAUUAGAUUAUUUUAACGAUUGAACUCAUCCCUGAUUGAGUAGCUCAGUUCAUUUAUAACAGGAGUGAACUUUAUUGUGCUUGAUGACAGCAAAUUCUAAAGAAUAGCUGUCAGUGCAUAUGCCUAGGAUUUUUCUUUAUAUAUAGAGAGCGAAACUAAAGUUCUCUCCUACACCAGACUUCUGCUCCCUUGCUGUUGUCAAAUAGUAUUGUCCUGUUGCUGCUCAUUUGACUAUAUACAUGUACAAUAUCAAUGUGUCCAAAUCAACACGUUUCUUUAACUAUAGUUAUGCUUGUCACCUAUGACAAAAACAGUGAGGGAGAACUGCAUGGUACAGGAGGAAAUGUAAAGAGAAAGACUUGAACUGGUCUGGCUACUUGCAGGAGAAAAGAAGUCAAACCUUCAUUGGAAAGAUGGCUUCUUAGUACCCAAAGAACAUUUAGAACAAAUAUUAAGAUUUCUUAGACAAUUCUAUUGCUAUGCAAGCUAGAACUAGUUGAGUGGUGAUAGUGUUCAGCCACGUAAUUAAGGUAAGAGUUGUUGGCAUUUCCUGUUACACAUUUCCUUAUUUUACAGAAGGUGGAUCGUUAAGGAAACAGUGACACAGACUAAGCUGUGCAUAUCUACACAGUCAGCCUUUUAGAUAAAAAAAAAAAUAUCCUGAAUUUGACUACAAAAAUAAAUGGUAUGCUAGAUGUGUUUAUUCA
rnacentral:lncRNA from 1 species